AUGACAAGGCCAAAAUAUGAAGGUGGACUGGGUUUUAGGGAUAUUGAACUAUGUAAUCUUGCUCUUUUGGCAAGACAGGCGUGGAGGAUCCUACAAACACCAGAGACACUUAGUGCAAAAAUUCUGAAAGCGCGUUACUUUCCAGCUACAGAUUUUCUUGAUGCUCCACUGGGCAGCCAGCCAUCUCAAAUUUGGAGGGCAAAUGUAGACGACAAGGAGAUCCUCUCACAGGGACUCAUCAAACGCAUUGGUGAUGGCAAAGAAACUUUGAUAUGGCAACAUAAUUGGGUUCAAAAAGAGGCGUCCUUAAGGCCCAUUGUUUGCCUGAGUCAACAUAGGCCACAGUUUGUGGCUGAACUUAUUGAUAGCUCCAAUGCUAGGUGGAAGCAGGAUGUGGUCCGAGUGACUUUUCUCCCAAUAGACGCGGAUGUGAUUCUCACCAUUCCACUUGCUACUCGGCAAUGUAGUGACUCCUGGGCAUGGGCAUACGAACAGAAGGGGUCUUUCUCCGUUCACUCGGCAUAUCAUAUGCUCAUCAAUACGAAGCUAAGAAGGGAUGCAUGGCUUGAGGGCCAACCAGGUCCAUCUGAUAGAACCAGAGAAGAAACAAGCUGA
rnacentral:rRNA from 1 species